UAAUACGGAGGGUGCAAGCGUUAAUCGGAAUCACUGGGCGUAAAGCGCGCGUAGGCGGCUUGGUAAGUCAGAUGUGAAAGCCCCGGGCUCAACCUGGGAAUUGCAUUUGAUACUGCCAAACUAGAGUGUAGUAGAGGGAAGUGGAAUUCCGAGUGUAGCGGUGAAAUGCGUAGAUAUUCGGAGGAACAUCAGUGGCGAAGGCGACUUCCUGGACUAACACUGACGCUGAGGUGCGAAAGCGUGGGUAGCAAACAGGAUUAGAUACCCUGGUAGUCCACGCCGUAAACGAUGUCUACUAGUCGUUGGGGGGCUUGUCCCUUUAGUGGCGCAGUUAACGCGUUAAGUAGACCGCCUGGGGAGUACGGCCGCAAGGCUA
rnacentral:rRNA from 1 species